rnacentral:tRNA from 1 species
GGGGGCGGAUAGGUCCUGGUGGGUCUCACAGACUUCAAAUCUGAUGUGGGGUGGUAAUGCCGGCCCAGGUGGGUUCGAUUCCCACACGUUCCUGCCA